UCCCUCCAGGUUAAGCCAACAUUUCAUGCCAUAUGAAAUUGAAGUUUGUGGAAUUCAAAAAGGCCAAGAGGUGGCAGCAAAGGUUGGCCUCUCCACCUCCUGUUCACCCAGGGACUCUCCCAUCUCAUCCCAGGCUCUGCAGAAAGAGGCACAGACUAAACAACUCCUCAUUCCUAUUUGACUUCCAUCUGUCUGAAGGCCGGGCCUGGGGCUUCUGGAAGGGAGGGCUCCGCCCCACCUUCCCUCCUCCCCCUGCCC